CGCAAGCAUUUAGAUAAUGCGAAACAAUGAUUACUUUUCCAAUUACCAGCAUAACUACAUGAGACCAAAGACACAUUCUACCAACACCAUACACCAAAUAAAGGUAUUUGCUAAAUAGUUUAAUCAAGCAGACGUAAUUACGUAACAGUUGGGGAUAAAUCUCAAUAGCUACAGUCCCAGAAUAAGACACUCAGUAUGCAAAAGUUCAAAGAGAGUCCCAUUAGGAGCAUACUCAAAAUCCAUCAUUCUGGUAAAGCAACAUGGAACUUGCAUGAGUCAAGUGUUUUUAUCAAAUUAAUUGAAAUUCUGGAGCACAACUUUGCCUCCCAAUUUCAAAUCUCUUAAUGGACAACGAACACAGUUCAGUUCCAUAAACUGUUGAUUCUUUAUUACACCAAUCAGUAAACCUCAAACAUGUCAAAUUCAACACUUUAGAGAUGUAAUUAUCUCAUCCACGCAAGAGUAGAAACUUACCAAGAAGGACAACAUCAGAAACUGCAUUUUUGUGAAUUUUUGUGGCACAGAUCAAAUUUCUCUGGCAGUUCUGGAGUUGAUCCGAAUGCAAUAUCCAUAAGUCCCACAUUCAUGACAUGUUUAGAAAUUGUUUUAUGCAGAAGAAAGUUGAGUUCGUUAAGACAUUAAUAACACACUUUUACAACUUCAAGUCAAGUACCUAGAAUAAGUCAAUGAUUCAUCAUUGUCUAUAGAAGCAACCCUAUCAACCCCUACAUAGCAAUCACCAAUAAAGAAGUUAGGAAUGUCAGAAAUUAGUUCCAAACAUCUUAAUCGAACAUGUUGUGUAUGAAGUUUUCUAACUCUAAUAGGACUGCAAGAAAUAGCAAUACGUAAAGACAUGAAACACAAAUAAAAGAUAAAAAGUAAAUGACACCAACAAACAGUAAAUUUAACCUGCUUUUAGGGAGCUUAGAUUUCCAAUCAAGCGUUAUGUAUAGCUUCACGCCUUCACAUGAGCUAAAAAUAUAGUUGUGAGGGCAGGGUAGCAAUAAAUAUGCUCUAAUCAGCCAAUUGAUUCAUAUAGGUCUUAGAGGCACAUCAGCAAACACCUUGAGUGCUUAGUCCACUUCAAAUUCCAGUAAGCAAACAAUAAAAAAAGAUUAAAUAAGUAGAAUAAAACAAAUCGUAAUGAAAAAGUAUAUCCCAAAUCAAGAGAAACCAAAAUUCCAGCUGCAAUUUUAAUUUGAUACCUCGGAUUUUCGGCAAGACGUUUAGCUCUGCACUAAUUAGUUGGUAGCAAAAGAAAAAAUUCAUCUAAUAAAAGUCAUAAUGCAUGUAUAAAUCAGGUACAAUUACUGACAUGCACAUAAAAUUUGUAGCAUGAAAUUUAUUCAAAAGAAGAGUAAGCUAAUAUAUAUUCUCUAAAUUGUCAUCUCCAACAAAGUAACUUCAACAAAUAAAGAAAUAUUGCAUAAAAAAAUUACCCAAAUAGAGCUCGUAUCAGAUACAAAUAGAAAAAAAUGGAUAAACUUUAAAAAGAGUAAGGACCCAAAUUUUGAUUACCAACAAAUUAAAGAAGUAUAAGGAAGUACAAUAGAGAAAGGAGAGGCAGUAGAAGAAUGCACGAUUCCAUGAACCUCAACAGCGCAGCUAUAACCACGGUAAUACUAACUGUUAAUAAAAGGUAGGAAUCGAGAAAGCUGAAGGAAUUGUACACGUGUAUAGCGGUAAAAGUUCUAUGAUAUGCACAAAAACAAAGCCAUAUUCUUUUUUCUCUUUUU
rnacentral:lncRNA from 1 species